rnacentral:rRNA from 1 species
AUGGCUCUUGAAGCAGCGUACCACUACCUGCAGCGCGCCGUCGGCCAUGGCACAUCCACAGAAGCACUACUACUCACCGUUCUCCUGCUACUCAUCAUCCGAGUAGCAUGGGUAAGAGCCUUCACCACCACCACCGCAUCGACAAAAUGCAAGCAGCAGCUCCCGCCUACACCUCCAGGCAAGCUGCCCAUCAUCGGCCACCUCCACCUCAUCGGCUCCCACCCCCACGUAUCCUUCCGCGACCUCGCCGCAAAGCAUGGCCGCGACGGCCUCAUGCUCGUCCAUGUCGGUGCGGUGCCCACCGUGGUGGUGUCCACACCUCAGGCCGCCGAGGCCGUCCUGCGCACACACGACCACGUGUUCGCGUCCAGGCCACGUAACCCCGUCGCCGACAUCAUCCGCUACAACUCCACUGACAUCGCAUUCGCGCCCUACGGCGACUACUGGCGUAGGGCUAGGAAGGUCGUCAACACGCAUCUGCUCAGCGUCAAGAUGGUCUACUCCAAGCGCCAUGACCGCGAAGAGGAGGUGCGGCUCGUGGUCGCCAAGAUCUGUGAGUUGGCCAUGGCCGCUCCAGGCAAGGCGUUGGACAUGACGGAGCUCCUGGGCGGGUAUGCCAGCGACUUUGUGUGCCGUGCGGUCCUCGGAGAGUCCCACAGGAAGCAUGGCCGGAACGAGCUUUUCCGCGAGCUCACCGAGAUCAGCGCCUCCCUGCUGGGGGGAUUCAACCUGGAGGACUACUUCCCUAGGUUGGCAAACCUGGACGUGUUCCUCAGGGUGGUUUGCUCCAAGGCAAUGGGAGUCAGCAAGAGGUGGGACAACCUGUUUAACGAGCUCAUCGCCGAGUACGAACACGGCAAGGAAGAUAAUGCGGAAGACUUUGUACAUCUUUUGCUUUCUCUAAAGAAAGAGUACGGUCUGUCCACAGAUAACGUCAAGGCCAUCUUGGUGAACAUGUUUGAGGCAGCUAUAGAAACAUCAUUCCUGGUGCUGGAAUACUCCAUGGCCGAGCUCAUCAACAACAGGCACGUCAUGGCCAAAGUGCAGAAGGAGGUAAGGGAGUCCACACCCAAGGGCGAAAAGCUGGACCUGAUAAUGGAGGAGGACCUCAGCCGCAUGCCGUACCUCAAGGCGACCAUCAAGGAGGCAAUGCGCAUACACCCGCCGGCACCCUUCCUGCUCCCACACUUCUCCACCAACGACUGCGAGGUCAACGGAUACACCAUUCCCGCGGGGACACGUGUCAUUGUGAAUGCUUGGGCUCUUGCCAGAGACCCGUCGCACUGGGAGAGAGCGGAGGAGUUCUACCCGGAGAGGUUUCUCCAAGAAGGCCGUGAUGCAGAGGUCGACAUGUAUGGUAAAGAUAUCCGCUUUGUGCCUUUUGGUGCCGGGCGGAGGAUCUGCGCGGGAGCUACUUUCGCGAUCGCUACUGUUGAGGUAAUGCUGGCAAACCUCAUAUACCAUUUCGACUGGGAGCUUCCGAGUGAGAUGGAGGCCAUUGGCGCAAAGGUUGAUAUGACGGACCAGUUUGGGAUGACGCUUCGCCGAACGGAGAGGCUUCACCUUGUUCCCAAAAUUUACAAAUAA